GAUGAAGAACGCAGCGAAAUGCGAUAAGUAGUGUGAAUUGCAGAAUUCAGUGAAUCAUCGAAUCUUUGAACGCACAUUGCGCCCCUUGGUAUCCCGAGGGGCAUGCCUGUUCGAGCGUCAUUUCACCACUCAAGCCUGGCUUGGUGUUGGGCGACGUCCUCUUUGGGGACGCGCCUCGAAACGCUCGGCGGCGUGGCACCGGCUUUAAGCGUAGCAGAAUCUUUCGCUUUGGAAGUCGGGGCCCCGUCUGCCGGAAGACCUGCUGGCAAGGUUGACCUCGGAUCAGGCAGGGAUACCCGCUGAACUUAAGCAUAUCAAUAAGCGGAGGA
rnacentral:misc_RNA from 1 species